rnacentral:lncRNA from 1 species
GUAACCAGAAUCCUUCCUACUCUUUAUUCUGCAAACCCUAGAGUAUGAACUUUGUCCUUAUGUUUCAAGAUGACACCUGGAGAUCUGGACAUCAUGGUCAUGUUCUAGGAUGACAGCAGAAAGAAGGAAACUUCAAAGAAGAUUUCCUAGAGAGAGAAGACAUCACUGGCAAAGUAAUCAUAAACAGAGAGAGAAGCUGAAGAAAAUCUAAGGUGAGAGUUUCCUUAUUUCUAAAAUCCAAAGAAAAUGAAAGUAGAGCAAAAAUCAGGGUUAUAUCAGUAGUUAACUUUCGGUCUUUUACCUUCAAACCAGAUUCAUUGUUAGUGGGGAGGGGGCAAGUGGGAAGUGAGAUGAAAGAGAAAAAAUGUGAUGUUGGGCUCUAACCUGCUCUUCUCUGACUUAAUUUAUGUUUUCUUUUUUUUCUUUUUAGUUCUAAGUAUUAUUUAUUGACGUCCAACAGGGACUUAAUAUUCUUUCAACACCAACCCUCACCUAUGCUCUUUCCUUUACCUCAGCCUCUCCAUCGUUACAGCACAUUUAUACUAUGUGUUUAGUAUUUACAUCUUUAUGACUGUGGAUAUUGCUUAGAGGGAAGUCGUGAAGUAUUACAAUAACAUUCAUUUCUAGUAAUUUAACAGUUUUCUUUGUAGUAGUUGUAGUAGUUUCUUUUGCUGAGUUUUCUAUGAGCCCGUUACUGAAUUGUUCCCAAAGUCUUUGCUAGUGGUAAAACCAUUCUACAAUAUAUUUACAAACCAUGUAAACUGGUUCUACCCCCUACCCACCCUGGAUACUUCUAGAAAUUUCUAUACGUGUUCAGUGCUCUGAAAUUUCAUACCAAUAUGACAUAGUAUAAGGUAUUUUUCCAGCCGUUGUGUCAAGCACUUGGUAGGUUCAUUAAUUCAGAGAGUCACUUCCUGCAUUUUGAAUAUUUUGUUGUUACUAUUAUUAUUAAUUUGAUAAUUGUCCUCUAGUAUUUUCUCUCUGUUAUCUUUUUUGGAAUUUUUUUAUUUUUAUGUUGUUCUGACUGUACUGACC